rnacentral:snoRNA from 2 species
CUCCUCUCAAGGUCCCACCUGGAGAAUUUCCAGUACUCUACCAAUCUUGACUAUGAGAGGGAGAGUCGAGCAGAGGCCUACCCAUUCCAUUCCUAGCUUGGCCAGUGGCUAGCAAGUGGAAGCCAAUUUGCUACAAGU